rnacentral:rRNA from 1 species
AUUGAACGCUGGCGGCAGGCCUAACACAUGCAAGUCGAGCGGUAGAGAGGUGCUUGCAUCUCUUGAGAGCGGCGGACGGGUGAGUAAUGCCUAGGAAUCUGCCUGGUAGUGGGGGAUAACGUUCGGAAACGGACGCUAAUACCGCAUACGUCCUACGGGAGAAAGCAGGGGACCUUCGGGCCUUGCGCUAUCAGAUGAGCCUAGGUCGGAUUAGCUAGUUGGUGAGGUAAUGGCUCACCAAGGCGACGAUCCGUAACUGGUCUGAGAGGAUGAUCAGUCACACUGGAACUGAGACACGGUCCAGACUCCUACGGGAGGCAGCAGUGGGGAAUAUUGGACAAUGGGCGAAAGCCUGAUCCAGCCAUGCCGCGUGUGUGAAGAAGGUCUUCGGAUUGUAAAGCACUUUAAGUUGGGAGGAAGGGUACUUACCUAAUACGUGAGUAUUUUGACGUUACCGACAGAAUAAGCACCGGCUAACUCUGUGCCAGCCGCCGCCGCGGUAA